rnacentral:rRNA from 1 species
UACAGAGGGUGCGAGCGUUGUCCGGAAUCACUGGGCUUAAAGCGCGUGUAGGCGGGUGGGCGCGUCGGCCGCUGAAAUCCCCCGGCUCAACCGGGGAAGGGGCGCCGAGACGGCCGGCCUGGAGGGACGUAGGGGGGGCUGGAACUUCCGGUGGAGCGGUGAAAUGCGUUGAGAUCGGAAGGAACGCCCGUGGCGAAAGCGAGCCCCUGGACGUCUACUGACGCUGAGACGCGAAAGCCAGGGGAGCGAACGGG